rnacentral:lncRNA from 1 species
UAUAGUGAUAGUGAGAUUAACAGUAAAUGAAGACAAUUGCUACACGUGCAAACAAAAAAUUAACCCCCAGCUGAAACCAUCGGGCCCUCCAAAACACCAAUAAAGCAACAAGUAAAAAUUUAAAAGGCAAAAUUAUAUCAAUAUCGAAUAAAGAACAAAGGCUUGUCUAAUUUCAUAUGUUUUUUUGCGAAUGUCUAAUUCAUAUGUUUUUCAUGUUUCAAAUUUGGCAUGAAAUCGUUUGGUUUUCACUACUAUAUUGCAUCUACCAUCUUUUAGUAUCUAAGGAAAAGAAUAGAAUUUGUAUAGGAACCAAUUUGUCUAAAUCAGUCCAGGUUGUCAUCAGCCAAGCCAAUAAAUUGAAUGACAGCGCCUAAAUUAAAUCCCAUGAAAAUUUCUAUUCAAUCGAAUCCCAGUUUUCGGUCCAUCUCAAUCCUGGCCCUCUGCCAUAGUCUCCCAAUUCAUAGCUCACAACUGCUGGCUGCUGCCUCCUGUACACUUUUGCUGCUCCCUGCCCCAUUUCUGUUUGCCUAACCACAUGACAUCAGUUUAUUUCCGCCUACGCCUCCACCCUCCUGACCCUUCAAAUCACUUCCUCCUUCCAAUCAUUGACGAAGGCCCCAUGGUCUAUGUGUUCAUCUCCCACGCUUUGACUCCCCUACGUCACUGAUGCCUCAUCCUCUUCCUUCUUCCCCCAAAGGACCUGUUCAUUUGUUCCAGGACA